GGCGUAUUUUGCGAUGGCGGAGCUCGACCGCCGACCGAAGUCAUGAUCGCCUUUAUCGACGAUUAUCGUGGAGAGCUCGGGGUCGAGCCGAUCUGCAAGCACCUGCCGAUUGCCCCG
rfam:Celeribacter indicus strain P73, complete genome.